GUUCUCAGCAUUGAUGAAAUUAGUACGUUCCCCUGUUUUCCAGGCUGGCUGCUGCAGAGACAGGCUUUUUCCUCAGACACGGCUCUGUGUGACUCUGAGCAGAUCUAUGGCUUCCGCUCUGAAUGACCCAGAUCCAAGGAGCCUUCUGCUACAAGCCCAGCUCAUCACAACUGCCCCACCUCCUGUUGAAAAGAUUCAUAUCAGUUACUUCAGCCUAAGAAAGCAAAGGGGAAAUGCCGAUGCUCGCUGCUCUGCUGACCCCGCCAUCGGCCUCCCUGCUCGGUCCGUCGGCCGGCUGCAGCCCCGCCACAGAGCCCACGCGGCAGGCUGCCCAGUGGGAUGAGGAGUGGGAUUGUUCAGUGAUCACUCUACAGUAAUUCCGCAAAAUUCCAAGAAAAGUGAUUCCCAGCACAAAAUAGCCCCCUGUCCCUCUCUCCCUCGUUCCUUUUCGGUCCUGCCAGUGAGUAACGGAUGCCACCGGGUGCACUGGUCUCCUGGGCCAAUGCAACACCUGCGCUUCCUGACACCACCCUCUGCCACUCAGCCGGGGCAGCCAACGCACCCAGGCUGUGCGCCCACCUCUUGGUGUCACCUCUGCUGUUCACACAUUCAUUCAAUGAACAAGUACGCCGCCUUUGUCUAAUGUCCCCGGUGACUACCUUUGUCCCAUGACAACCAGAAACGGAAAGGCAUUCAAAUAAAUGUUGUAAAAAUAUCUUGAAUGGAAAGAAA